AACGAUUUCAGCAGCAACGGCGACCUGUGGAUGAUGCAGGAAAACGGCUUGACUGUUGGCCAGAACAUCUGCACCUACAUGGCCGACCAUUUCUUCUACUUCAUCCACAACCACAGGGUGUACGGCUACUUCGAGGUGUGCGGAGGCGCCUGGGAGUACACAGGAGUCGCGUCGCAGCAGCUGCUGUGUUGCAACGGAGGCAAGCACGAACACUGCAUCUCUAAAUAACUGCAAGAAACCCUGAAACAGACUACACAAAGAAAGACAAACUGUAUUAGAGUUUAAAAUUAAAAUAAUAUUUUCACCCAA